CCUUGUUUUAUGAAUUGUACCAGAUCUCACUAUAUCUCUUCUCAUUCAUCUAUCCUCUCCACCAUACUUUUCCUUAUCUCUCUCUUGUUCUAAUAGAUAUAAAACAAGAUCACAAAUGAAAUCAAGAAACUGAUGAGCAUCAUAUCCAUGUAAACGCCAUCUAGAUCUAGAUCUGGACCGUCAUGUAGAUCAGGAUCCACCAUGUUUCUCUACCUCAUUCCAUGUAAACACUUCUCUACCCUCACACUUCUCUACCUCAUUCCAGAUCUAAGAUCUGAAAUAAAAAAAAAUCUUUUUCUUAUCAAAAUCCUUCAUAAUCAACCACCCAAACUCCAGAUGCUUCGAACAAAAAGAUGCUCCAAAUAAAAAAAGAUGCUACAGAUGUUCCGGUUCAAAAGUUCAUCAUCCAGAUGCUCCAGAUCUUGAAGAUUAUCAUCCAGAUGUUCGAUGUUUGAACAUGAUAUUCCAAAUCUAGAAGAUCCUCCUCCAGAUCCGGAUUAAAAUGAUCGAUGUUGAAGAUGAUGUGACGGCGGUUCGAUGUUGAAGAUGACCCAAAAGAUGUUCGAUGUUUAAACAUGAUGUUCCAGAUCUAGAAGAUGCUCCAGGUCCAUAAGUCUUUUGAGGAACAUCAACAACCUGCAAGUUGAACUGUUUACCCGUGAGCAAGAAAUUCGGAAGAAGAAGAGGGUUAUAUAGUUACUAAUAUUAGCGUUAGUGAUUGGCAGCUUACUUGUUAGCAUUGUUUGUUGUGAUUAAGAAAUAGGUGGUACUUAGUUGGAUUAUCCUUGUUAGUAUGUUAA